rnacentral:rRNA from 1 species
UACAGAGGGUGCGAGCGUUGUCCGGAAUCACUGGGCGUAAAGGGCGCGUAGGCGGCUCGGUCAGCGUGCGGUGAAAGCCCGGGGCUCAACCCCGGGUCGGCCGUGCGAACUGCUGGGCUGGAGCACUGUAGAGGCAGGUGGAAUUCCGGGUGUAGCGGUGGAAUACGUAGAGAUCCGGAAGAACACCGGUGGCGAAGGCGGCCUGCUGGGCAGUAGCUGACGCUGAUGCGCGACAGCGUGGGGAGCAAACAGG